AGCCCCGUAGCUCAGCUGGUAAAGCGUGCGCUGUGUGAAAGCGUAGGCGGGAGCCCAUGCGUGGGUUCGAAUCCCACGGAGGCAU
rnacentral:tRNA from 1 species